GAGAGGACCGGAGUGGACGAACCUCUGGUGUACCGGUUGUCACGCCAGUGGCAUCGCCGGGUAGCUAUGUUCGGAAGAGAUAACCGCUGAAAGCAUCUAAGCGGGAAACUCGCCUUGAGAUGAGAUAUCCCCGGGGCUUCGAGCCCCUUGAAGGGUCGUUCAAGACCAGGACGUUGAUAGGUCAGGUGUGGAAGCGCAGUAAUGCGUUAAGCUAACUGAUACUAAUUGCCCGUAAGGCUUGAUCCU
rnacentral:rRNA from 1 species